rnacentral:rRNA from 1 species
CACACGACUCUCGGCAACGGAUAUCUCGGAUCUCGCAUCGAUGAAGAACGUAGCAAAAUGAGAUACCUGGUGUGAAUUGCAGAAUCCCGCGAACCAUCGAGUUUUUGAACGCAAGUUGCGCCCGAGGCCUUCUGGCUGAGGGCACGCCUGCCUGGGCGUCACGC